rnacentral:rRNA from 1 species
UGAAGGCUGAAAUUCGCCUUCAUGAAGCUGGAAUUGCUAGUAAUGGCAGGUCAGCAUACUGCCGUGAAUACGUUCCCGGGCCUUGUACACACCGCCCGUCACACCAUGAGAGUUGGAAAUACCCGAAGCCUGUGAGCUAACAGUAAUGAGGCAGCAGUCGAAGGUAGAGCCAAUGAUUGGGGUGAAGUCGUAACAAGGUAUC